rnacentral:rRNA from 1 species
ACGUAGGGGGCAAGCGUUAUCCGGAAUUAUUGGGCGUAAAGAGUGCGUAGGUGGUUUUUUAAGCGUGAGGUGAAAGGCAAUAGCUUAACUAUUGUAAGCCUUGCGAACUGGAAGACUUGAGUGCAGGAGAGGAAAGUGGAAUUCCUAGUGUAGCGGUGAAAUGUGUGUAUAUUAGGAGGAACAACAGUGGCGUAGGCGACAUUCAGGAAUGUAACUGAGACUGAGCCACGAAAGCGUGGGGAGCAAAGAG